AGGACGAACGCUGGCGGCGUGCCUAAAACAUGCAAGUCGAACGAGGUAGCAAUACUUAGUGGCGAACGGCGGAGUAAUACAUAAGCAACGUGCCCUGAAGACUGGGAUAGCCGGGGGAAACCCCGAGUAAUACCGGAUGUGGCCGUCGAAGGACAUCCUUUGACGAUUAAAUGGUUUUUCGCUUCAGGAGCGGCUUAUGGCCUAUCAGGUAGUUGGUGGGGUAAUGGCCUACCAAGCCGACGACGGGUAGCGGGUCUGAGAGGAUGAUCCGCUCGAGUGGGACUGAGACACGGCCCACACACCUACGGGUGGCAGCAGUUGGGAAAUCUUGCACAAUGGGGGAAACCCUGAUGCAGCGACGCCGCGUGGAGGAUGACGGAUCUAGGUCUGUAAACUCCUUUUUCAUGGAAAGACUUAGGACGGUACCAUGAGAAUAAGCUCCGGCUAACUACGUGCCAGCAAGCCGC
rnacentral:rRNA from 1 species